UUUUAGCGCACGAUAAUGACUGCACUACUCAGCAGUCUCUAUCUACUGUUAAAGUCAUUUAUUUAUUACGCAUUUAUUUAUUAUAUUUGUUUAUUGUUAUAUCCACCCCUUACCGUUUUAGCUGUCAGUUAAUGCAGCCAGCUCCACUCAUCGGUGAAGUUCACAUCUAGACGCAUUAAACCAAGUGCUGUGUGUGCUGCUCCUCACUGGAUGCUGUAGUGCUGUAAAUUUUUAAAAUUUCCUCAGUCAUUUUCCACAUGAUACAUCCAUAUAAAGACGCCACAGUGGAGUGCAUGCAUCUACUUUUCAGGUAAUUUUACAUCAGCACUGGUGUCUGCGUGGAUCUUGGGAGCGGAGUCUGAUUGCUGGUGGUGACGGCAGCUCCCGGUGGCAUUGAAUCACGGAGGAGUACUCCUCCUGAAUUCCUCUGGGAGGGCACAUGCUUGAGACUGAGAAUAGUUUACAGGUGUGCCUUGGCAGUUUAAAAAACUCAGGAUGGUGGUGCAAAAAAGGGAGUUGCAGUAGUUUGUAAAGAAAUCAAAGGAAAAGCAAGCA